GUGAUUACUUUGGCAGCACAUAUACUAAAAUUGGAAGAAUAGAGGGAAGAUUAGCAUGGACCCUGUGCAAUGAUGACAUGCAAAUUCAUGAAUCAUUCCAUAUUUUU
rnacentral:snRNA from 1 species